rnacentral:rRNA from 1 species
GUGUCAGCCGCCGCGGUAAUACGGAGGGUGCAAGCGUUAUCCGGAUUCACUGGGUUUAAAGGGUGCGUAGGUGGAUUGCCAAGUCCGUGGUGAAAUCUCCGAGCUUAACUCGGAAACUGCCGUGGAUACUGGUAGUCUUGAAUACCGUGGAGGUCAGUGGAAUAUGUCAUGUAGCGGUGAAAUGCUUAGAUAUGACAUAGAACACCAAUUGCGAAGGCAGCUGGCUACGCGAAUAUUGACACUGAGGCACGAAAGCGUGGGGAUCAAACAGGAUUAGAAACCCCCGUAGUCC